CCCUUAGAUGUCCUGGGCUGCACGCGCGCUACACUGAUGUGUCCAGUAAGCACCUAACCUAUUCCGAGAGGAGCGGGUAACCUUAGCAAAGCACAUCGUGAUGGGGAUAGAUUAUUGCAAUUAUUAGUCUUGAACGAGGAAUUCCUAGUAAGCACAAGUCAUCAGCUUGUGUUGAUUACGUCCCUGCCCUUUGUACACACCGCCCGUCGCUCCUACCGAUGAGUCGUCCGGUGAAGUUCGUAGACCUCGUGAUCGCGGAUCACUGGGGGAAGCAAAAUGAACCUCGCGGUUUAGAGGAAGGAGAAGUCGUAACA
rnacentral:rRNA from 1 species